UCUAUCUUCUCCAUUAUCAAAUGAGCAAGACAACGGAUCCUUUCAUAUCUCCUAAAUUUCAGUUUGAUCUCGACCAGUGCCUUCAUAUUUACUUUCUUUUUUCUGCACCAAAUCUAAAAUUUCAUCCCUCCUAAGUUCAUCGCCAACAAGUUCUUAGAAUGAUAUGGAUUGUGGUGGUCGAAUUUAAAAUCAAGUCGAGAAGAGAUUGAUACUGGUAAGGUGAUUUUGAAGAGAUUCAGAGAGCUUUAAAAAUUUGUUGCAGGGUUGAUAGCAUACCUCUUGUGGAAUAUAGUGGCAGUAACGUAGCUUGGAUCAAACGAAGAGGUUACUGUUUUUACCCGAAUGAUCAGACUCAAUUUGUUAUUUCCACUGAUCAUGUUCACUCAUCUGAUUUUGAUGCAAUCAGGUCCCACUAUAUGCUUGAAAUUGUUUUAUGGGUUAAUCAUAGGAAUACGAAGGGACAACAAGGUUGGACAAAUAGAUUUAAGAAAUCAGAC